rnacentral:rRNA from 1 species
AAGCCCUUCGGGGUGGAUUAGUGGCGAACGGGUGAGUAACACGUGAGCAACCUGCCCUUGACUCUGGGAUAAGCCUGGGAAACUGGGUCUAAUACCGGAUACUACUUCCUGCCGCAUGGUGGGGGGUGGAAAGCCUUGUGCGGUCUUGGAUGGGCUCGCGGCCUAUCAGCUUGUUGGUGGGGUAAUGGCCUACCAAGGCGACGACGGGUAGCCGGCCUGAGAGGGUGACCGGCCACACUGGGACUGAGACACGGCCCAGACUCCUACGGGAGGCAGCAGUGGGGAAUAUUGCACAAUGGGCGGAAGCCUGAUGCAGCGACGCCGCGUGGGGGAUGACGGCCUUCGGGUUGUAAACCCCUUUCGGCAGGGAACAAGCCUUUCGGGGUGAGGGUACCUGCGGAAGAAGCGCCGGCUAACUACGUGCCAGCAGCCGCGGUAAUACGUAGGGCGCGAGCGUUAUCCGGAAUUAUUGGGCGUAGAGAGCUCGUAGGCGGUUUGUCGCGUCUGCUGUGAAAGCCCGGGGCUCAACCCCGGGUCUGCAGUGGGUACGGGCAGGCUGGAGUGCAGUAGGGGAGACUGGAAUUCCUGGUGUAGCGGUGAAAUGCGCAGAUAUCAGGAGGAACACCGAUGGCGAAAGGCAGGUCUCUGGGCUGUAACUGACGCUGAGGAGCGAAAGCAUGGGGAGCGAACAGGAUUAGAUACCCUGGUAGUCCAUGCCGUAAACGUUGGGCACUAGGUGUGGGGGCCAUUCCACGGUUUCCGCGCCGCAGCUAACGCAUUAAGUGCCCCGCCUGGGGAGUACGGCCGCAAGGCUAAAACUCAAAGGAAUUGACGGGGGCCCCGCACAAGCGGCGGAGCAUGCGGAUUAAUUCGAUGCAACGCGAAGAACCUUACCAAGGCUUGACAUGUGCCGGACCGUCCCAGAGAUGGGGCUUCCCUUCGGGGCCGGUUCACAGGUGGUGCAUGGUUGUCGUCAGCUCGUGUCGUGAGAUGUUGGGUUAAGUCCCGCAACGAGCGCAACCCUCGUUCCAUGUUGCCAGCACUUCGGGUGGGGACUCAUGGGAGACUGCCGGGGUCAACUCGGAGGAAGGUGGGGACGACGUCAAAUCAUCAUGCCCCUUAUGUCUUGGGCUUCACGCAUGCUACAAUGGCCGGUACAAAGGGUUGCGAUACUGUGAGGUGGAGCCAAUCCCAGAAAGCCGGUCUCAGUUCGGAUUGGGGUCUGCAACUCGACCCCAUGAAGUCGGAGUCGCUAGUAAUCGCAGAUCAGCAACGCUGCGGUGAAUACGUUCCCGGGCCUUGUACACACCGCCCGUCAAGUCACGAAAGUCGGUAACACCCGAA